CCUACGGGAGGCUGCAGUCGAGAAUCAUUCACAAUGGGGGAAACCCUGAUGGUGCGCCACCGCGUGGGGGAAUGAAGGUCUUCGGAUUGUAAACCCCUGUCAUGUGGGAGCAAAUUAAAAAGAUCGUACCACAAGAGGAAGAGACGGCUAACUCUGUGCCAGCAGCCGCGGUAAUACAGAGGUCUCAAGCGUUGUUCGGAAUCACUGGGCGUAAGGCGUGCGUAGGCUGUUUCGUAAGUCGUGUGUGAAAGGCGCGGGCUCAACCCGCGGACGGCACAUGAUACUGCGAGACUAGAGUAAUGGAGGGGGAACCGGAAUUCUCGGUGUAGCAGUGAAAUGCGUAGAUAUCGAGAGGAACACUCGUGGCGAAGGCGGGUUCCUGGACAUUAACUGACGCUGAGGCACGAAGGCCAGGGGAGCGAAAGGGAUUAGAUACCCUAGUAGUC
rnacentral:rRNA from 1 species